rnacentral:rRNA from 1 species
UCAUCUUCGGGGGUAGAGCACUGUUUCGGCUAGGGGGUCAUCCCGACUUACCAACCCGAUGCAAACUACGAAUACCGAAGAAUGUUAUCACGGGAGACACACGGCGGGUGCUAACGUCCGUCGUGAAGAGGGAAACAACCCAGACCGCCAGCUAAGGUCCCAAAGUCAUGGUUAAGUGGGAAACGAUGUGGGAAGGCACAGACAGCCAGGAUGUUGGCUUAGAAGCAGCCAUCAUUUAAAGAAAGCGUAAUAGCUCACUGGUCGAGUCGGCCUGCGCGGAAGAUGUAACGGGGCUAAACCAUGCACCGAAGCUGCGGCAGCGACGCUUAUGCGUUGUUGGGUAGGGGAGCGUUCUGUAAGCCUGCGAAGGUGGCCUGUGAGGGCUGCUGGAGGUAUCAGAAGUGCGAAUGCUGACAUAAGUAACGAUAAAGCGGGUGAAAAGCCCGCUCGCCGGAAGACCAAGGGUUCCUGUCCAACGUUAAUCGGGGCAGGGUGAGUCGACCCCUAAGGCGAGGCCGAAAGGCGUAGUCGAUGGGAAACAGGUUAAUAUUCCUGUACUUGGUGUUACUGCGAAGGGGGGACGGAGAAGGCUAUGUUAGCCGGGCGACGGUUGUCCCGGUUUAAGCAUGUAGGCGGAGGUUCCAGGUAAAUCCGGUACCUUUUAACGCUGAGGUGUGAUGACGAGGCACUACGGUGCUGAAGUAACAAAUGCCCUGCUUCCAGGAAAAGCCUCUAAGCAUCAGGUAACAUUAAAUCGUACCCCAAACCGACACAGGUGGUCAGGUAGAGAAUACCAAGGCGCUUGAGAGAACUCGGGUGAAGGAACUAGGCAAAAUGGUGCCGUAACUUCGGGAGAAGGCACGCUGGUGUGUAGGUGAAGUCCCUGCGGAUGGAGCUGAGACCAGUCGAAGAUACCAGCUGGCUGCAACUGUUUAUUAAAAACACAGCACUGUGCAAACACGAAAGUGGACGUAUACGGUGUGACGCCUGCCCGGUGCCGGAAGGUUAAUUGAUGGGGUUAUCCGUAAGGAGAAGCUCUUGAUCGAAGCCCCGGUAAACGGCGGCCGUAACUAUAACGGUCCUAAGGUAGCGAAAUUCCUUGUCGGGUAAGUUCCGACCUGCACGAAUGGCGUAAUGAUGGCCAGGCUGUCUCCACCCGAGACUCAGUGAAAUUGAACUCGCUGUGAAGAUGCAGUGUACCCGCGGCAAGACGGAAAGACCCCGUGAACCUUUACUAUAGCUUGACACUGAACAUUGAGCCUUGAUGUGUAGGAUAGGUGGGAGGCUUUGAAGCGUGGACGCCAGUCUGCGUGGAGCCAACCUUGAAAUACCACCCUUUAAUGUUUGAUG